UUUGACUUGUCCAGUGGGUGAGAUCAUUCCUUGGGGAAGACUCUUCACCAGGGAAAUAAAGGCAGGAGUGUACACAUGCUGAUAGAGGAGCAGAUUUAGGAAUCUAAAAGGAAGGUGCAGAAAAUACCAGCAGCAUAGCAGGAGUGCUUGCAGCCCACGUCUCCCCUUCCCUAGCAGAUAGGAGCUAAUGGGGACCUUUUGUCCAGGAAGCAGGUGGAUUCUUUUCUUCCUGCCAUUUCUGGGUUCUUAAGCUUCUUCACUUAAGAGAAAGAUCAUCCUGUCCUGGCAAUGAUAACUUUGCAGUCAAUUGCUCUGCUUCUACUUUAUUGCUCCAUUCAGGCUUAUAUCAUUAGGCCCAGAUCUCCCAAGAAUCCUGUU